rnacentral:rRNA from 1 species
UACGUAGGGUCCGAGCGUUGUCCGGAAUUAUUGGGCGUAAAGAGCUCGUAGGCGGUUUGUCGCGUCUGCUGUGAAAUCCCGAGGCUCAACCUCGGGCCUGCAGUGGGUACGGGCAGACUGGAGUGGUGUAGGGGAGACUGGAAUUCCUGGUGUAGCGGUGGAAUGCGCAGAUAUCAGGAGGAACACCGAUGGCGAAGGCAGGUCUCUGGGCACUUACUGACGCUGAGGAGCGAAAGCGUGGGGAGCGAACAGG